CUGGUUGAUCCUGCCAGUAGUCAUAUGCUUGUCUCAAAGAUUAAGCCAUGCAUGUCUCAGUGCAAGCCGCAUUAAGGUGAAACCGCGAAAGGCUCAUUAAAUCAGUUGUGGUUCCUUAGAUCGUACACGAGUUACUUGGAUAACUGUGGUAAUUCUAGAGCUAAUACAUGCCGACAGAGUUCCGACCGUCGCGGCGGCGCCUCCGGGCGUCGUGCGCGGGAGGAACGCUUUUAUUAGAUCAAAACCGGCCCGUCGCGGGCGCGCCUCGCGCGCGCCCCGAUCGCGGCCCGCGCAAAGACCUGGUGACUCUGAAUAACUUCGAGCUGAUCGCACGGUCUCCGUACCGGCGACGCAUCUUUCAAAUGUCUGCCUUAUCAACUGUCGACGGUAGGUUCCAUGCCUACCGUGGUGGUAACGGGUAACGGGGAAUCAGGGUUCGAUUCCGGAGAGGGAGCCUGAGAAACGGCUACCACAUCCAAGGAAGGCAGCAGGCGCGCAAAUUACCCACUCCCGGAACGGGGAGGUAGUGACGAAAAAUAACGAUACGGGACUCAUCCGAGGCCCCGUAAUCGGAAUGAGAACACUUUAAAACCUUUAAACGAGGAUCAAUUGGAGGGCAAGUCUGGUGCCAGCAGCCGCGG
rnacentral:rRNA from 1 species